rnacentral:rRNA from 1 species
GUAAUGGCAGGUCAGCAUACUGCCGUGAAUACGUUCCCGGGCCCUUGUACACACCGCCCGUCACACCAUGAGAGUUGGGAAUACCCGAAGCCUGUGAGCUAACGUAAGAGGCAGCAGUCGAAGGUAGAAUCAAUGAUUGGGGUGAAGUCGUAACAAGGUACC